UUAGGCGAAUUUCGCUCAAAAAAUUCAUUUCCCUCUUCGCUUACCCAUUUCAGCGCCAUUUCUUCUGGAUCUAGGUUUAGGAACUCAACUUGAUUCUCCGCAAAUUCUGAACCCAAUUCUCCCUCGAAAUCCUACCGAGAGAGCUCUUACUCGUUAACAACAGGAAAUGGUUUGAUAACUCUGGUGGUGUUUCAUUUUGAUUUCAUUCAUCUCAAGGGAUUAGAUUAUCACAAGUCCGCAUAGUUUUCGGAAGUUGUAUAUUUUAUGGAACAAUCUCGCGAAUGGCUUAUCGUUUGGUUUACCAUGUCAACCAUCAGUUCAUUAAAAGCUGCAAGGCCCGAACUCCUACCAAUUUCAUCAAAAUCAACGGCCAUGAUUGUCAUCAUCAUGACGAUCAAAGGGUGUAUGUUAAUGGGUGGAACUCCUACUGGUUGAUGGAGGCGAGUGUGUGGGACUCAGCAAGGUUGAAGGUUUCCGAGAUGCUUAAGAAAAAUGCUCAAAUGGGGUAGAAGCUUUCAGUGAUGGGCCUGGCCCGAACUCCUUGCAGAUUGUACCUGGGGUCUUCAAUGGCGUAUUUCCUGGACGAAGCAGAGUGGUCAGGAAAGGAAUGUGUAGCUGUAUCGCUACCCAACAGUAGUGUUUCGAGGAUCGACAAGCCUUUGAACUUCAAUAUGCCCCUGAAAUCUCUCACAUUUCCACAUCCGAAUGAGUUCUCAGCUCCUGCAUCUCCCUGUGAGCCUCCAGGUGAAAUAAUGAGAAUAGUCAAGCAAGAACCGCAAUGCUGGUGAAAUUAUUUGUGGUCUUAACGCUAAUACUCUUUCGAGGGAUAGUGCAAUCUUAUUUGGCACUAGGGUCAUAAGGCUAAGAGAAAAAAUAUUUGUUGUCACUUGACUGCUAUAGUCGAAUAUAAAGGUCGGAAAGAGAUAAGUUUGAAGCCAGAAGCUCCCAAGCUCUGUCAUUCUUCAUAUGCAGCAGACAUCAAAAUCCCAUGUUUGGUGUGGCAACACAGUGAAUAUUUCCUUGACCAAAGCAAAGCUGAACAUAACCAAAUCUAUAGGUUCUGAUCAGUCAGCUACAAGACUUCAAGAACUCAGAAAAUACAUUCGAGCUAAACCAGGCGUGGAUAUUCUUUUAGUUUUGGUUGAUAUGAUUAAGAGAGGCAAAGCGUCUCUUCGCAUGAUCAGGAAAACAAAACUGCUCAAGGGGAUCGGUGGACUGGAAAAGUUAACUUCGUUGAGAUUCAAACGUAUUGGCACGUCUUCAGAAGUUUGACAGAAUGUGGAGCUUUUUUAUUUUGGCUUUGCAGGCAACAGUCUCUUCUGUUAUCUUAAUCUGAAUGUGGAAUAAUGUUGCAUUUCUGAUUAUUUUCAGGCCAUGAUUAUUAUUGCACUGGAAUGGCACAGGCGACCCAAGUGCAAUAUUCCAAGUGCAAAAUUCUGGUAUCUUUGCGUUCAAUAUUUGCAAGUUGUUAUCUUUAUCUUGGUUUAUUGUUAUUUGCAAGUUGGUUUUUCGACAAUGGAAAAACUACGUGCUUACUUUGUUUAUACACGACUGAAUUUUGCGACUGAAUUUUUGAACAAGAAGGAUUCAGAACCGUUUGAGAAGAGGACCGUGUCAGGUCUGAGAUGAUUCAACUACUGAUGAUGGUCUGACAUUUAGUCUUCAGCUUAGAUGUUAGCCUGUGAAUUAUUUGUAAUGAUAGAUGAAAUAAAAGAGAUGGAAAUUGAAAAAAACUGGCUUCAUUAAUCACUAUUUUGGUCUAUUACAACGGUUGUUCUGCUUUAUAUAUUUAUCUGCUUAUUCUACUACGAUGCUUAUGCAGUGUGUGUCAUUGCAGCUGUUCUUAAAGACCUCUGCAUUGCUGAGGUAACUCCUUCUAUUGGACAUUCAGUCUGAUAACCAGUCUUGGUUUAUUGCCAAUCCUUUUGAUGGAAAUUUUGAUCAACCUGCAUUGAUUCCUCAUAUAGCAGAAGCAAGUUCUCAGAGAUAUCCUUAUGAUUGCAGGGCAGCGCACUGAGGCAACACUUCUCAGAGAUUCACUUUCAGUUGGAGGAUAGGAAAAGGAACAAGCUAGCUGAUCAACUUGCUGGUAUUACACGCCAGGAAAGCAGGAGAUGAACCAGAUCAUGCAACUUCAGGAACCUACAGCUGAAUCUUUAAAAUUUUAUUAUGAGGACAUCCAUAAUUGUAGUAGUAGUAAUCUAGAAAUUAUUAGAGCAUCUGGUUGUAGCUAGAAACUUGCGUUUUUAGAAGUCUCAAACAACUUGACCAUUGAAGUUGAAAUAGGAAAUUUGUUCAGCCAAGCUAAUAAUUUGCUUGAAAAAAUCCGAUGAUGGUUGAUUGACAAGUGCGACACAUUUGAAUAUCAAGCUACUAGCUAAACAUUGUGGUGUAAAGUUUUUAACUACUUGAAAAGACAGUAGAUUAAAAUUAUACGUGAACUGACAAGCUAUACAAACUAAGCUUACCA